rnacentral:rRNA from 1 species
CCUACGGGAGGCAGCAGUGGGGAAUAUUGCACAAUGGGCGAAAGCCUGAUGCAGCGACGCCGCGAGAGCGAAGAAGGCCUUCGGGUCGUAAAGCUCUGUCCUAUGGGAAGAAAGAUGACGGUACCAUAGGAGGAAGCCCCGGCUAACUACGUGCCAGCAGCCGCGGUAAUACGUUGGGGGCGAGCGUUGUGCGGAAUGCCUGGGCGUAAAGGGUACGUAGGCGGCUAGAUAAGUCAGAUGUGAAAGGCAUAGGCUUAACCUGUGUAAGCAUUUGAAACUAUCUAGCUUGGGUCAAGAAGAGGAAAGUGGAAUUCAGGGUGGAGGGGUGAAAUGCGUAGAUAUGAGGAGGAAUAGCAGUGGCGAAGGAGACUUGCGGGACUUAGACUGACGGUGAGGUACGAGAGCGUGGGGAGCAAACAGGAUUAGAUACCCGUGUAGUC